rnacentral:rRNA from 1 species
UACGUAGGAUCCAAGCGUUGUCCGGAUUUACUGGGUGUAAAGGGUGCGCAGGCGGACCGAUAAGUCAGAGGUGAAAUCCCAUCGCUCAACGAUGGACCUGCCUUUGAUACUGUUGGUCUUGAAUUAGGGAGAGAUUCGUGGAAUUCCGAGUGUAGCAGUGAAAUGUGUAGAUAUUCGGAAGAACACCAGUGGCGAAGGCAGCGAAUUGGCCCUAUAUUGACGCUCAGGCACGAAAGCAUGGGGAUCAAACAGG